rnacentral:rRNA from 1 species
CAGCAGCCGCGGUAAUACGUAGGGUGCAAGCGUUAAUCGGAAUUACUGGGCGUAAAGCGUGCGCAGGCGGUUAUAUAAGACAGAUGUGAAAUCCCCGGGCUCAACCUGGGAACUGCAUUUGUGACUGUAUAGCUAGAGUACGGCAGAGGGGGAUGGAAUUCCGCGUGUAGCAGUGAAAUGCGUAGAUAUGCGGAGGAACACCGAUGGCGAAGGCAAUCCCCUGGGCCUGUACUGACGCUCAUGCACGAAAGCGUGGGGAGUAAACAGGAUUAGAUACCCCCGUAGUCCCUGUCUCUUAUAC